CUAAGGGAAGAGCCCGCGGCCUAUCAGGUAGUUGGUGGGGUAAUAGCCUACCAAGCCGAUGACGGGUAGCUGGUCUGGGAGGACGGACAGCCAGAGAGGGACUGAGAUACGGCCCUCACUCCUACGGGAGGGAGCAACCAGGAAUAUUGCGCAAUGGGCGAAAGCCUGACGCAACGACACCGCGUGCGGGAAGACAGCCUAAGGGUUGUAAACCGCUGUGGGAAGGGAAAAAAUCUACCUUUGGUGGAUUGACGGUACCUUGCUAAAAAGUGGCUGCUAACUUCGUGGCAAAAACCUCGGUCAUACGGGGGCCACAAGCGUUAUCCGGAAUUACUGGGUGUAAAGAGACGUGUAGGCGGGUCGAAAAGUCAUGUUUAAAAUUCCAAGGGUUAACCUUGGAUCCGGCAUGAUACUCUCGGACUUCUAGUUUAUCUCAGGAAAGUGGAACGUUCUUUGUAGCGGUAAAAUGCGUUGAUAAAGAACGGAACACCAACGGCGAAGGCGACUUUCUGGAGAUUAACUGACGCUGAGACUCCCAAAGCUAUGGGAGCGAAAGGGAAUAUAAGACCCCUGUAGUCCUAGCCCUAAAUGCAUGUCUGCUAAUGGUUCUCGUCCCUUUGGGACAGGGAGCGGCGUAAGCUAACGCGUUAGCAGACACCUGGGGGACUACGAGCGCAAGCUUAUACUCAAUGAGUAGGCGCGGACCCACACAACGAGUGGGAGCAUGUGGGUCAUUUCUACACGAACCGAGAACUCACCAGCGUGUACAUACUAUUGCACGCCUGUGAAGCGGGGAAGCCUUAAAGGA
rnacentral:rRNA from 1 species